UACAGGGGGGGCAAGCGUUGUUCGGAAUUACUGGGCGUAAAGGGCGCGUAGGCGGCCUUCUAAGUCAGACGUGAAAUCCCUCGGCUCAACCGAGGAACUGCGUCUGAUACUGGAAGGCUUGAAUCCGGGAGAGGGAUGUGGAAUUCCAGGUGUAGCGGUGAAAUGCGUAGAUAUCUGGAGGAACACCGGUGGCGAAGGCGGCAUCCUGGACCGGUAUUGACGCUGAGGCGCGAAAGCUAGGGGAGCAAACGGG
rnacentral:rRNA from 1 species